UACAGAGGUCUCGAGCGUUAGGCGGAAUCACUGGGCUUAAAGCGUGUGUAGGCAGAUCGGUAAGUACCUUGUGAAAUCCCACAGCUUAACUGUGGAACUGCUUGGUAUACUGCCAGUCUUGAGCCACUUAGGGGCUACCGGAACAAAUGGUGGAGCGGUGAAAUGCGUAGAUAUCAUUUGGAACGCCAAUGGUGAAAACAGGUAGCUGGGAGUGUGCUGACGCUGAGACACGAAAGCCAGGGGAGCAAACGGG
rnacentral:rRNA from 1 species